rnacentral:rRNA from 1 species
UACGUAGGGGGCAAGCGUUGUCCGGAAUCAUUGGGCGUAAAGCGCGUGUAGGCGGCUCGGUAAGUCCGCUCUGAAAGUCCAGGGCUCAACCCUGGGAUGCGGGUGGAUACUGCCGGGCUCGAGUCCGGAAGAGGCGAGUGGAAUUCCCGGUGUAGCGGUGAAAUGCGCAGAUAUCGGGAGGAACACCAAUGGCGAAGGCAGCUCGCUGGGACGUGACUGAUGCUGAGACGCGAAAGCGUGGGGAGCAAACAGG